GGGUUGUCUGCUUUCAAUAUAGUCUUAAGUGGCAAAUUGUAGAGUGAGGGCUGAACCUUGAGUCUAGAUCGUAGCUGUAAAAGAAUUGUUUUCAAGCCAAUUAGUAGGGAUAGACUGUUGCAAUUUUUCAGUCUUGAACGAGGAAUUCCUAGUAAACGCAAGUCAUCAGCUUGCAUUGAUUAC
rnacentral:ncRNA from 1 species